rnacentral:lncRNA from 10 species
AGGGUACAGCCUGCCAUAGGGAAGCAGCUGGCAUUGCAACAAGUUGUCCAGGCAGCAGCAAAAAGUGGAAGAAAACCAAGUUUGUUGAGGAUCUAUCAUAUGCCAGAUACUUUGCAUACAACAUUAGGGCUUAUUUAAUCCUUUCUACAGCCCUGAGAGGCUUCUCAUUUUAUUUUUUAUUUUUUUUAGAGACAUAGUCUCUAGAUACUCUGUUGCCCAGGCUGGGGUGCAGUGGUGCAAUUCUAGCUCACUGUAACCUCCACCUCCUGGGCUCAAACAAUCCUCCUGCCUCAGCCUCUUGAGUAGCUGGGACUAUAGGCAUGUACCACUAGGCCUGGCUAAUUUUUGUAUAUAUAUAUUUUUGUAGCGACAGGGUCUUACUAUGUUGUCCAGGCUGGUCUUGAACUCCUGGCCUCAAGUGAUUCUCCCGCCUUAGCCUCCCAAAGUGCUGGGAUUAUAGGUGUGAGCCACCAUGCCUGGCCGGCUUAUUUUAGACAUCAGAAAAGGGCACCAGCAGGACGUGGCUAAAGUGACCCAGCUAGGAGGUGGCAGAAACAGCAUUCCAACCUCGGUCUGAGUGUCUGAAUCCUGUGACUGUUAAUUCCUUGGCCCUAUGCUGUGGCCCUGGAGCUCCUCUAACUUCCAGUCAAGCACCGGAACUGUUCUUAGCAGAGAGCACAGGGCCAAUGGGUCAGCUGGCUGGAACCUUGUAGGGGCAGAGAGUAUGGCUACCUUUGUCACUCUCCUUCAGGGUCAAGCCCAGGGAAGCCUGAAGUUGAGUUCGCCAUCUCAGGCUGAGGCUGCCCUGGACUUCCUGAGUGGCAGAAACCUGGUGGCAGUAGGGGGUGUGCACUGUGCCCUGAGUUGCCUGCUGCAAAGGCUGUGACCCCUGGUGCAUCUCUUGCCUAUGUGGGCUGGGGAGUGGGUGUGACUGGGGUGAAAGGCUGGCUUAGUGGCACAGCAGAUGGUCACAGCUCUGGGACUUACUAUUAUCCCUAUUUUACAGAUGAGGAAAUGAGACUCAGGAAGGUUGACUCACACAGAUGGUGCCUUGUGGGGCUGGGAGCAAGACUUCCUGACCUCUAAAGCUCUGUCUCAUGUCCCACAACCCUGCUGUUCCAAGACAGGUUUGUCAGCAGCGAGCCAUGCAGGGGUCACCUCAGCAGCAGGGGCUGGUGAACUGGGUGCAACUUAGUCUAUCAUCUCCAGGCUCUACCAUCACCACGGCUGGCCCCCCGCCUCCCCUUGUGCUCCACACUAACUGCAAAUCAUCUCUCUAACAGAGAUGCCUCCUCCACUUCUUUGAAAGCCAUUCCCCUACAACACAGCAUGAGAGACCCCCACUACUCCUUUCCCAAUAGCCAGCUCUAUGGCUACCUGACUAGUCCUAGCUUCUACCUGAUGGUGGGGCAGAAAUUCUUUCUAGGAUCCUGCUGGAGUCAAAGCUAGACCGGGAACCAGGCAGCCUCAGCGAGUGGGUGAAGAGCAACAGUGACUCAGGCCCAGAGGCAUACUGGCACUGACAAUGCUGCCACCAAGGAAGUGACGAUGGUAGAAUAGGCACGAGGUACUCCCACUCAGAAAGCCCACCAAGUGGAGACAUGCAUGGGCUCUCAGUUCACAUUCGACUGGAAUGUACUAUAAAUAUGUCAACAGGCUUUGCCUCCUCUUCUACGUGGAGUUCUCUAUAAAAGCGUGACACUGGCUCAGAAGUUAAGCGCCCACAUCACCUCCGAGCUGAUGAAGAGGCCGAAGUCUUCUCCCUGGAGCACUGAGUGGAAGGCAGCUGAAUGAGGGGUCUUUGCUCAUAAUACCACCCCUGGUUGAAGUUUCCCCCAGCUCCUAUGCAUGUAGGAAUAAGCAUGUUCUCAGAAAUCCCUGUCACCCACUGGUUGAAGAGUCCCCUCAUGUAGCUUUGUUAACUGAAUAAAGGAGAAAAAUGGUUGGGCAUGGUGGCUCAUGCCUGUAAUCCCAGCACUUUGGGAGGCCGAGGUGGGAGAAUUGCUUGAGUCCUCCCACCUUUUCACUUCACCAUUCCAUAUUUAAGUCAUUUCUCUCUCACAUUUUAUUAUAAGCAGUCAGGAGGAGCCAAGCCACACUUUCAAUACAUUGCAUAGAAAUGUCCUCAGCCAAACAUCUGAUUUCAUCACUCUCAAGUUCUACCUUUCACAAAACACUAGAACACAAACACGGUGUUUGCUUGAGUGGUUAGAGACCAGCCUAGGCAACAUGGUGAGACUCUGCCUCUAUAAAAAAUUUUUUAAAAAUUAGCUACGUGUGGUGGCAGGCACCCAUGGUCCUAGCUCCUAGGGAGGCUGAGGUGUGAGGAUUGCUUGAGCCCAGGAGGUCGAGGCUGCAGUGAGCUGUGAUCAUGCCACUGCACUCCAGCCUGGGUGACAAACUGAGACCUUGUCUCAAAGAAACCAAAACAUUAAAAAUUAAAAAGAAGGAAAAUGAACAUGUGUAUGGUGCCCUAAAAACUGCCAUUUGGAAUUAAAUCAGAGAACUCUUAGAUAAAGACAACCUCUCAAGGCACCCCCUCUACCUCCCUCAUUGAAAACUCCCCUCCUUUUUGGUGAGUUUUGUUCACCCCUCCAAACAUAUGAGCUGGUUCCAAGCCUGCUGGGUUCACAUGAGACUUGAGAUCCAGAGCAGCCAAAGCCCACGAACUGCUUCUCACGGCGGAGGGGGAACAAGCACGUCUGAACUCCCCCAUCCACCCUUCUGCCUGGAGAUGGAUUUUUAUUUUCCUUCCUCCCUCCCUGGGAGGGAAUGACCCUCUGUGAAGUGCCCACUAAGGUGAGUAACCAAGCAGAGUGAGCAAAAGCCUGGAUGAUCCCCAACAGCCAAGCCGCCAGCCCCUCCCAACAGAGCGGCCUCUCCUCCCCUGGCAAAGUGGAUGCAACUUAGUCUAUCAUCUCUAUGCCCUGCCAUCACCAUGGCUGGCCCCCCAACUCCCCCUGUGCUCCACACUAACUGCAAAUCAUCUCUCUAAUGGAGAUGCCACCUCCACUUCUUUGAAAGCCCAUUCCCCUACAACAGAGCAUGAGAGACCCCCACUACUCCUUCCCCAAUAGCUGCAAGGUGAUCGCUCCAAGAUGGUCCCCAUCUCUGAGCUCAGAGACUGCUGGUUUACUUUAAGGCAGGCAUGGUGCCCAUUUCUUUUUCUUUUUCUUUCUUUUUUUCUUUUUGAGACGGAGUUUUGCCCUUUUUGCCCAGGCUGGAGUCCAAUGGCAUGGUCUCAGCUCACUGCAACAUCCACCUCCCAGGUUCAAGUGAUUCUCCUGACUCAGCCUCCCGAGUAGCUGGGAUUACAGGCGUGCCCACCACCAUGCCCGGCUAAUUUUUGUAUUUUCAGUAGAGACGGGAUUUCGACAUGUUGGUCAGGCUGGUCUCGAACUCCUGACCUCAGGUGGCCCGCCUGCCUCGGCCUCCCAAAGUGCUGGGAUUACAGGCAUGAACCACCAUGCCCGGCCCAUGCUGCUCAUUUCUAAAACACUUGUGGUUGAGAUGAGUCACCAGCUAGACCAACAUCCCAAAUCAUCCGCAGCACUAAAGUCAAUGAAAAAACCAAGGGGGAGACUUCAGGCUCCUGCAAAGGGAAGGGAGAACUUUUUCUUUUUGCCUCUGCAGGGCACCAAUGAGCCAGUGCGCUUCUGCAGAGAAGCAAAGGGCUGAUUCACGGCUCCAAGGGUUGCCACAUCUUGGGGGAAUAGGCUUUUGGGAGCCUUCUAGACACCUGAAAAAAAUAUAAAUUACUCUUCAUGUCAGGAGAUCGCCAAUGUGAGGGGCCACAGCCCCCCCAGAUAGAGCAAUGGAACCUGGGCGUCGUCUUUUGAAACAACAGCUUCAACAUACACAACUAUUAGCAACAAACCAGAACAAAGCAACACCUAAUCCUGCUGCUCAAAGCUUCAGAGCUUCAGUGAUGUUCACAAAAAAGAAACCUGUGAAAGCCAAGGUGCUAGCUGGUCCUGCAAUGCAUGAGACUCUGGGCCAGACACCUUCCUGCUUCUCCAGGCCACUCUCUACCCUCUCCACCUGCUGCUGGCUGGGCUUUAGUCCAAGGGGCAUGGAAAUCAGAGGAUGAAUGGAGGGAAUUUAUUCCUUCAGCUUCCUCCUGCAGGGUUACAGCAGGCUGGCCAUCCCAUCCCCAGACAAAGUCACUCCCUAGGUUCUAGGACUCCCUCCCCUCCCCACAUCAGGCCUGAGCUGGAAUGGCCUAUUACUAGUUUUUAGAUAGAAUGCACAACCCCCUGGGGUUCCUACACCUGCUCUUAAAACAUCCUCAAGGUUGCAGUGAGCCGAGAUUGAGCCACUGCACUCCAGCCUGGGUGACAGAGCAAGACUUCAUCUCAAAAAAAAAAAAAAGAAAAGAAAAAGGAAAAAAAGAAAAAAAAAUCCUCAAAUUAGGCUGGGCACAGUGGCUCACACCUAUAAUCCCAGCACUUUGGGAAGCUGAGGUGGGAGGAUCGCUUGAGCUCAGGAAUUUGAGACCAGGCUGAGCAACAUAGUAAUACCCCAUCUCUAUGAAAAAUUUUAAAAAUACAGAAAUUAGCGAGGCAUGGUGGUGUGCACCUGUAGUCCCAGCUACUCAGGAGGCUGAGGCUGGAAGAUCACUGGAGCCCAGGAGUUCAAGGCUGCAGUGAGCUAUGAUCGAGCCACUGCACUCCAGCCUGGGUGACAGAGCAAUAUCUUGUCUCAAUAAUAAUAAUAAAUUUUAAAAAAUCCUCAAAUUGCCUAAUCUGAGUGUGCCAUUGCUUGUUAAGACUCUAACAGAGACAUCAAUGAGGCUUACAUUGAAUACGCAAGUAUUUAUUACGCCCUUGAACCAAUGGCUUUGACAUGUUGUAAACAGGAACACUGAAAGACCCUCAUCUUGACCCAGGCCAUAGA